rnacentral:rRNA from 1 species
GAUGAACGCUGGCGGCGUGCCUAAUACAUGCCAGUCGAGCGAACAGAUGAGGAGCUUGCUCCUCUGACGUUAGCGGCGGACGGGUGAGUAACACGUGGAUAACCUACCUAUAAGACUGGGAUAACUUCGGGAAACCGGAGCUAAUACCGGAUAAUAUAUUGAACCGCAUGGUUCAAUAGUGAAAGACGGUUUUGCUGUCACUUAUAGAUGGAUCCGCGCCGCAUUAGCUAGUUGGUAAGGUAACGGCUUACCAAGGCAACGAUGCGUAGCCGACCUGAGAGGGUGAUCGGCCACACUGGAACUGAGACACGGUCCAGACUCCUACGGGAGGCAGCAGUAGGGAAUCUUCCGUAAUGGGCGAAAGCCUGACGGAGCAACGCCGCGUGAGUGAUGAAGGUCUUCGGAUCGUAAAACUCUGUUAUUAGGGAAGAACAAAUGUGUAAGUAACUAUGCACGUCUUGACGGUACCUAAUCAGAAAGCCACGGCUAACUACGUG